rnacentral:tRNA from 2 species
GGAGGGGUGGCCGAGCGGUUUAUGGCGCUGGUCUUGAAAACCAGUGGGCUAAACACCCUCGGGGGUUCGAAUCCCCCCCCCUCCGCCA